rnacentral:rRNA from 1 species
GACGAACGCUGGCGGCGUGCUUAACACAUGCAAGUCGAACGGAAAGGCCCCUUUGGGGGUACUCGAGUGGCGAACGGGUGAGUAACACGUGAGUAACCUGCCCUUGACUUCGGGAUAACUUCAGGAAACUGGGGCUAAUACCGGAUAGGAAUCCUUGCUGCAUGGUGGGGGUUGGAAAGCUUCGGCGGUUUUGGAUGGACUCGCGGCUUAUCAGCUUGUUGGUGGGGUAGUGGCUUACCAAGGCUUUGACGGGUAGCCGGCCUGAGAGGGCGACCGGCCACAUUGGGAAUGAGAUACGGCCCAGACUCCUACGGGAGGCAGCGGUGGGGAAUAUUGCACAAUGGGCGGAAGCCUGAUGCAGCAACGCCGCGUGCGGGAUGACGGCCUUCGGGUUGUAAACCGCUUUCAGCAGGGGCGAAGCUUGUGGUGACGGUACCUGCAGAAGAAGCACCGGCUAACUACGUG